GAAAACACACCACACUGACACUGUCGGUGGAGUUGGAGUUCACGGUGAAGCAGACAGCCUUGAAUUGUGAACUGGAAUAUUGUUUGGGUUAGCCGUUCGACUUUGUGAAUCUUCGUUAGUCCGUGGUACACUAUAUACAAGUUGUAUGCUGGACAUCAGACAGCUACACUCCACCUCCACUGCUAAUGUGAAGUACUCUUGUAACCUAUACACUGCAACCUAUCUUCCACAAAAACCACCUGAAAAAUGGCGGGUAGUGUAUUGCAUUGAAAUCUGCUGUCAAAGUAGGUGUUAAGUGUUCUGCAGUGUCAGAGUGCCACUGAAUUGUCAACUCUUUUCACAUGUGCACAAUCCUAAUAAAGUAGAGUUAAAAAAAAUCUUCUGGUUUUCAACUGUCAGCUGGAAAUAAUGACAAAGAACUAUUUCAUGUAUGUAAUUCUGAUGAUAAAGGUUACAAUUCUAUGAUUCCUGACAUGUGGUUCAUUUUUAUGCAUGCAUGAUCUGAUCACACUCAGGCACACACACUCUCAUUUUCCUUCUUCCAGUUAAUUUUUCCCUCUUCCUGUACCCUGUAUAUUCAGUUACCAUUUUCUGCCUUGUGCAGAUACACAGAGCACAUACACAUCCGCAUGUUGUAUAAGUCACUUGCAGACUGAUUGUGAAGGGCUUGUCACCAGCACAGUGAGGAUUGUGGGUUUUGGCUCCAGACCUCACUUCCAGCUUACCUGAUUUCUAUCUAAAGGGGGUAUCUUUAUGGCCACUAGCUUAUCUAAGUUACUGAUAACAUAAAACACCAAGAAUUGGUAACAUAUUCACAGUUUACUGAUAAUACAUGAACAAAAAGUCUUCAAAUUAAGAUAUGUAUCAACAAAUUCAAAGUGCAAUAUUGUAAAGAAUUUUGUGUGAAAGUGAACCACACCAGAAUGUUUUGCGGACACAUUUACAUUUCUA